AGUUGGAUAGCUGGGUCAAAUGGUGGUUCCAUUCCCAGCUUUCUAAGGAAUUUCCAUACUGCUUUCCAUAUUUGCUGCACCAAUUUGCAGUCCCAUUAGCAAU
rnacentral:pre_miRNA from 1 species